rnacentral:piRNA from 1 species
UAGUACAUUUAUUAAGUCAUUUGAC